AUCUUUUUCUCGCUUGAUCUUUCGCUCGAGAGCAACAGAGAAAGUGAAUAAUGGUGUUUGUUAUAGGGAUCGCUGUUUUGUAAUUUUGGUUGACGGAGCGACACAACCUUACUUCUUUGGUGUAUCGAAAGCGACUAUAUGAAAAUAAACGAGAGAUCGCGAUGGAGACGCUUACCCCUCCCGCAACCCGCUCGGUUACUCAUGAAUCGUGACCCCUCAUUCACCUAUUAGCUUUUUCGCUCUUUCUCGUUGAGUUCGCUAUUUAAAAUGCCCGUAGCUGUCCUUUUCUAAUUCAUCGAUAUAUUUUUUUUAAAUAAAUGCAACAGAUAAGAAAUGUUGAA